AUUCCUGGGUCUCUAUAGUCUCAUCUUUAACAUAAAGAGGUUGAAGUGUUUUCAACUCAAUGUCUCCGAGAUAAGAGCAGGACCCGGACGGUAGGAAUCCACAGGCUGUGUCCCUACCAUGUAACCAGCGACCCUGUCUCCACAAGUCUGCCUUUUACUAUGCCUUGUAUGCACUGCCUCCUCUCUAGUUGCAUUCUCUCUGCCUGCUUCAGCCCUUGCAUAUCUAUUCCCUGGGCUCCUCCAGUGGUUCCUGUGUAGUCUGUGCCUCCAACCCAGUGGUUUCUAACCAGAGAACUAUUUUGCUCCCCAGGGGAAAUUCAGCAGUAUCUGGAGACAUUUUUGGUUGUCAAGACCAGUGGGGUCCUUCUGGCAUCUACUGGAUAGAAGCCAUGGAAGCUACUAAACAUCCUACAAUGCACAGGAAUCCCACAAAAAGAACUGUCUAGCUCAAGAGCCCACUGAUUUUAUGUCAGACACUCCAAUGGGACUAAAAAGGAACAAAUGCCCUCAAGGCAGCUCAAGGCACUGAUAUCCAGUAGGGCACACAGAAAAGUGGGCACACAAUUCAAUCAGCAGAGGCAGAACUUUGUCAUCGCCUCUGUGAUCCCACUGCCAUCUCCCCAGUGGACUGUGAGCCUCCAGAAGAGAGAGCAUCUUCAUGUCUUCAUCUUUAUAGUCCACAGGAACUUGGACAUGGUAAGUGUGGUCUACAGGGUGUACAACUUGUAUUUGUCACAAUUGUUGCAUUAAGGAAUGAAUGAAUUCCCAGCCUCUUUAAGUUUGGCUCUAGCACAGAAAUAAAAAGAAAUGAAACAUUAAAAUAUAGAGAUGAAACAAAAUUCUUCAUAGUGCAUGCACUCAAAAGCCCAGAAACAAGGCCCAUUCACAAAGAUGAAAACAUCUUCUUUGUUUAGAGCUCUAAUCUGUCUCUCUUCUCUUUAUAAAUCUGAGAAGUGUAAAUCUAUAUAAUAGGUAUCUAUCUAAUGAAAUGCCUGAAUCCCAUUGCUUGACAUUCAAAGACAAGGGCCAUGGAGCAGAAUUUGACUAGUAACAGAGGUACAAUGGUAUCCAG
rnacentral:lncRNA from 1 species